AUACGUAGGUGGCAAGCGUUGUCCGGAUUUACUGGGCGUAAAGGAUGCGUAGGCGGAUAUUUAAGUGAGAUGUGAAAUUCCUAAGCUUAACUUGGGAGCUGCAUUUCAAACUGGAUGUCUAGAGUGCAGGAGAGGAGAAUGGAAUUCCUAGUGUAGCGGAGAAAUGCGUAGAGAUUAGGAAGAACACCAGUGGCGAAGGCGAUUCUCUGGACUGUAACUGACGCUGAGGCAUGAAAGCGUGGGUAGCAAACAGGAUUAGAUACCCUGGUAGUCCACGCCGUAAACGAUGGGUACUAGGUGUAGGAGGUCUAAGCCUUCUGUGCCGCGGUUAACACAAUAAGUACUCCGCCUGGGAAGUACGAUCGCAAGAUUAAA
rnacentral:rRNA from 1 species